GACGAACCGUGCGACCGUUGUUCGGAAUCACUGGGCUUAAAGGGCGCGUAGGCGGGCUGCCAAGUCUGGGGUGAAAUCCCACGGCUCAACCGUGGAACUGCCUCGGAUACUGGCGGUCUCGAGGGAGGUAGGGGCAUGCGGAACUGUGGGUGGAGCGGUGAAAUGCGUUGAUAUCCACAGGAACUCCGGUGGCGAAAGCGGCGUGCUGGACCUCUUCUGACGCUGAGGCGCGAAAGCUAGGGGAGCAAACGGG
rnacentral:rRNA from 1 species